AUUGAACGCUAGUGGCAGGCCUAAUACAUGCAAGUCGAACGGUGGUAGCGAUACCAUAGUGGCGCACGGGUGCGUAACACGUAUGCAACCUACCUUAUACUUAGGGAUAGCCUCUGGAAACGGAGAUUAAUACCUAAUAGUACAUUGACUUGGCAUCGGGUUAAUGUUAAAGAUUUAUUGGUAUAAGAUGGGCAUGCGUCCAAUUAGUUAGUUGGUGAGGUAACGGCUCAACAAGACGAUGAUUGGUAGGGGAAGUGAGAGGUUAAUCCCCCACACUGGCACUGAGAUACGGGGCAGACUCCUACGGGAGGCAGCAGUAGGGAAUAUUGGGCAAUGGAGGCAACUCUGACCCAGCCAUGCCGCGUGCAGGAUGAAGGCGUUAUGCGUUGUAAACUGCUUUUAUGUAGGAAGAAACAGACCUUGCGAGGUAGAUUGACGGUACUAUAUGAAUAAGCACCGGCUAACUCCGUGCCAGCCGCCGCGGUAACAC
rnacentral:rRNA from 1 species